rnacentral:rRNA from 1 species
GAUGAACGCUGGCGGCGUGCCUAAUACAUGCAAGUCGAGCGAACAGACGAGGAGCUUGCUCCUCUGACGUUAGCGGCGGACGGGUGAGCAACACGUGGAUAACCUACCUAUAAGACUGGGAUAACUUCGGGAAACCGGAGCUAAUACCGGAUAAUAUAUUGAACCGCAUGGUUCAAUAGUGAAAGACGGUUUUGCUGUCACUUAUAGAUGGAUCCGCGCCGCAUUAGCUAGUUGGUAAGGUAACGGCUUACCAAGGCAACGAUGCGUAGCCGACCUGAGAGGGUGAUCGGCCACACUGGAACUGAGACACGGUCCAGACCCCUACGGGAGGCAGCAGUAGGGAAUCUUCCGCAAUGGGCGAAAGCCUGACGGAGCAACGCCGCGUGAGUGAUGAAGGUCUUCGGAUCGUAAAACUCUGUUAUUAGGGAAGAACAAAUGUGUAAGUAACUAUGCACGUCUUGACGGUACCUAAUCAGAAAGCCACGGCUAACUACGUG